GACGAACGCUGGCGGCGUGCUUAACACAUGCAAGUCGAACGGAAAGGCCCUGCUUUUGUGGGGUGCUCGAGUGGCGAACGGGUGAGUAGCACGUGAGUAACCUGCCCUUGACUUUGGGAUAACUUCAGGAAACUGGGGCUAAUACCGGAUAGGAGCUCCUGCUGCAUGGUGGGGGUUGGAAAGUUUCGGCGGUUGGGGAUGGACUCGCGGCUUAUCAGCUUGUUGGUGGGGUAGUGGCUUACCAAGGCUUUGACGGGUAGCCGGCCUGAGAGGGUGACCGGCCACAUUGGGACUGAGAUACGGCCCAGACUCCUACGGGAGGCAGCAGUGGGGAAUAUUGCACAAUGGGCGGAAGCCUGAUGAAGCAACGCCGCGUGCGGGAUGACGGCCUUCGGGUUGUAAACCGCUUUCGCCUGUGACGAAGCGUGAGUGACGGUAAUGGGUAAAGAAGCACCGGCUAACUACGUG
rnacentral:rRNA from 1 species